GCGAGUGGCGAUAGUAUGUUGAACACAACAGUUCCCAUUGGAUCACUAAAGUUAAAUCACGUUGACCUUUGUUGGUAUCCGCAUGGGUGACCAUAGAGGUAAUCACAUAGGUACUGCUGACC
rnacentral:rRNA from 1 species